UACGUAGGGGGCAAGCGUUGUCCGGAAUCAUUGGGCGUAAAGAGCGUGUAGGCGGUUCGGUAAGUCGGCUGUGAAAGUCCAGGGCUCAACCCUGGGAUGCCGGUCGAUACUGCCGGACUAGAGUUCGGAAGAGGCGAGUGGAAUUCCUGGUGUAGCGGUGGAAUGCGCAGAUAUCAGGAGGAACACCAAUAGCGAAGGCAGCUCGCUGGGACGGUACUGACGCUAAGGCGCGAAAGCGUGGGGAGCGAACAGG
rnacentral:rRNA from 1 species